UUUCUGUUGCUGCAGAAAUGUAGAAGAGGGGUUGUGUUUUUAAAAAAUUUCCUCCAAAAUAAAAGCAAACAACAGCCUCUCUACACAAGUAAUGUCUAAAUCUUUAAUGCUAUUUGGAUUCUUCUGUUUACUCGUCGAUUUGACACCAAAGUCCUUAAAUCCCAAAAUACACCCAACCAAAUUUAUACUGAAACGAUACUGCUGAGAGCAGCAAAAGGGAAAACAAGACUCAGUCACACUGCACGCCACACAGAAAUGUUAGCUUUAUCUUUAGCACACGGCUCGGUCAAUAGUCUGCUGGGUCCACUGGCCCACAGAGGGGUUCAAGGUUGCAUGGAAAUUAAUCAGCAACUAACCUCCCCGCGCCACCUCAGGUCUGCAGCCAAGACCUGACUUAGUUAGAGAUAAUCCUAAACAAACCUGAUUUAACCCUCAAGUGGAAAAAAUGGAGAAGUCAGAGAGUGGGAGUGACGAAAAAGGUUCAACAAACACGAUAGAUAAGUCAUCAAAUGGUUUGCAGUGGAAUUUACCAAACCCUUCGACUGCAUUUCAGUGUGUGUGCACAAAAUGAAACCUUUACAUCACAAGCAACACAAACCCCAGACAGAGAGGAUAAAGACAGAGGCAUGGUGGGAUUUGUGUGUGUAAUCCAUGACAGUUCAGGGAGGGGAGUGUUAUCCAACUUCAAAAAAAACAGAGAGGAGGAAAAAACACCUCUGCGGGUGUCUUCACAGGUGACAAAUGUAACAUUAUAACCCUGAAAAGUCAUUUUAUAUCCUCCAGAUUAGGUAGACAAAGUCUUUGUGAAGUGAGGGAUGACAUUUUGAAAAUACUGGAUGUUUCAACACACUCAAUGGUGGAACAGUUAAGCUUUGAAAAUGUUGUGCAACAUCCCCUCUUUCCAACACAUCAUCACUCGAAGAAUGCUACACCCACAACUAAAUAAGACAUUGUUAUCCCUCUUGAAGAAGACAAUAGCUGUGACGAGAUGUUGCCUGGCUUUGGGAGUUCACAAAGCUUGAAGUAAAACAGAGUAAGCGUGACUGUUUCCAAUUUUCAUGAAAAGUCUUAUUAAAAAAAUCAAAUCGACACAGAAAUGGUAUCAGGCCUCAAACAAUGUGAUCUCAGAGUCUCUGCAGAUAUGUGAUUCAGCACAGGUUUUUUAUUAGCUGUCAAAACUGGCAGAGAGUCACUCAAACAUUCUCAGGAUUUUUUCUUCGAUGACCCCCGUUUCCGACUGGAGCCCCUGCGCAGUCUUUCCCUGUUCUUGGCUCCCAUGCUGACAGGAGAGAGGGAAAUUCCCACACAGGAUGACCUCUUUUCUUCAAAGUUUAGCCCGGCCCCUUCUCCACUUUUUACCGUCAAUGGGCAGUGUCUGUCCGUAAAAUCCUCAUUGCAUCACAGCCCCUGUACAGGCCAACUGUCCUCCUAAAAAACUCCUCUGAUAACGCAAUACAAACACACACACACAGACACACACACACACACACACACACACACACACACACACACACACACACACACACACACACACACACACACACACACACACACCUGUCAUUUAAAAGUUCUCUCUGUUCUUGUGGUUGAGAAAUGGGAGAAGAUUUGCUUGACCAGUGAUUCAUGUCAGUGUUUUCUGCUUACCUCUCAUAAAGUAGUUUGUUCCUUAAAAUAUUCCCCGACCCCCUUCGCUCUGGUUGUGUUUUCCAAGUUUAGUAAGUUGAUUAAAUCAAUGAACUGAUGAGUUCAAGAUGUCACAAACAAAUAGUUGAUUUAAUAAUCUGUAUGUUAAAAACUAGAGAGAAUAAUGGAGCAGACUUUAGUGUUAAUAGGAUAGCAGCUCAUCAUAAUCAGUGUGUAACAAUCACAAUGCUGUCUUACUUUGGUCUGUAUGUUUUCAAAUGUUUAGGUUUUGCAUCUGUUCAGAAAUAGACUGACAAUAAUCACUGUCUUUUUUUAUUCUGAAAAAUCCAGCCGUCAGUGUGUUCGUCUGGUCUGUGUCCGCAUUUAUGCUCCCCUGUCCUUCCUCUUUCUUUCUUUAGAGUUUAAAGUUUAUAACUUUUUAAAAGAGGUCACAAAAGCAUCGUUAUUAUUUCCAUUUAUUCCUUAAACCUGCUGGGCUCAGUGUUUACACUGUAUAAUGUCUAACAGGAGCGCAGAGGAUUGUGAAAGCGUCUUCUUGCUCAUGCGAUGUGAUUCUUGGUCGUGUUUUGGACUGUGAGCCAAAUGAAUGUGACAAAAUGAAACACAAAUCUGUGUUGUAGUUUCAUCCUCAGCUCUGUGGCAAUUCACACACUCCAAAAUAGAGCUCUGCUCUUUUUUGUGAUGUGGUAAUAUAACAAAAGCCAGCAGUCUGACUAGAUGCACCUGUCUGCUAAGCUUGUAGGUGAUACUGUAGCUUAAGCUUGGUUGAGCUAUGGUACGUUUUAAUUCUAUUAAAAGAGAAGGAACUUUUCUUUUGACUCUCUAAUUGAACAGCCUGGGAAUUUUUAAAAGGGAAAUGUGCCGUUCAGAAGUGCAGUGGUCUCAUUAUUUACUAAAUCAGCAGAAGAGAGCAGGACAAUACUUGGGUGGCUUGAAAGGGUUAAAUGUUAAUUUCUUAUUUCUAAUUAGUCAAUGCGUCAUGUCAACAGAUCUCAUUUCUAAGACAGAGUUGAGGGCAUAUUUGAUCCUAAAAUGAGUUUUGAGAAAGUUUGAAAGAGGAAGAAAGUCAUGUCUAACCCUAUUAUUCCAUGCACAUUUUUUUAGAUUAUAGAUUUUAUUUCGAUCAUGAGGAAAGAACAUGAUACAAAAGUCGAACCAAAGACAACAAUCCAGAUAGAGCAUAACAAAGGGAGUCACUUUUUCACAUUACAGUCUAAUAAACAUGAAUAUCUGAGAUGGAACCUGUUUCUGAUGGACAUAAAGAAAUAAAAAGAUGUUAAUUUCAGGACAAGUUUUAUAUUAAUGUCAGAAUCAGUAUUAAACUGCUUUAUUCUUUACAUCAAAACAGAAUUUACAACCCUGUCACUGUUAUUGAUUUGAUUUGAAAAAUUUGUUGUCAUUUGGAAAAGAUGGAUUUGACAUCAGCCUAUUUUAAGACACUGUCAAUCUGUCAGAUUAAUCAAUAGUGUUUGUGACACUAUAUUGAUUUUAUAACAGUCAAGCAAAGGAGUACUUUAGGGUUCAAUACUUGGUUCUUUUUUAUUUUCUAUCUGUAUGUUUUUUCCUACAUUUUUUACCUCAAUGUCUUGCAUUACCUUUACAUAAAUGUAGAAGGAUGUAUUGCCAUUUAUAAUUUAGUGAUAUCAGAACUAUCUGCUGUAUAAGAUCGAUGUCAUACAGUUUCGCUUGUGUAGUUCGGAGUCAUUUCUGAGUGUUUUUUCAGACCAUUUUAAUAGAGAUCUUUAUGGUACUGAUUCAUACCCUGAAGAUCCUUAUUACUCAUAACUAUCAGACCAUUUGGGGUAGUUUCCUUAUGUGAAUCUUGUCAGUUCUGGACCGGUGAUUUAAGGUGAUUGAUGUAUCUUGGAAAAUCUGAAGUACGCUAUUGAAAGUGGACAACGGUGUGUCAUCUCUUUUGGUACCGCUAAACAGAUAUCAAAAAAGUGAAAUUUCUCAGUAUUGUUGAAUUUAACUCCUCUGUGAUUUUGCUUGCUCAUUUACAGUUCCUCCUCUAAGUGAAAGGGACAGCGGAUAUCCGGACCAUGGGGUUGUAACGGGAAGCUCGGCAGCAUCAGCUACGGUAAAUGGACUAGAACAUGAGCUGUCUUGAGGUGCACCCAGAUUUCAACAUCUUCUUUACUUCUGCAAUUUUAGCUGUAGAUGACUGUGAAAACACAAAACUGACGUGCAGAAGUGACUUGCGGUCACUACGCAGCAAGUAUCACUGCCCAAAUCUUGUGCAACAUGAGGCGAUCUUGCAAGAUGGGCGUUAGGUUUAUUGUUGGAGAAAUACUCGAACAGGAUGGGUUCAUUUCAGCACUCUUGAGGUGUGCGGAGGCUUAAUCGAUACCUUAUGCAGAGGGAUUAACAGAUGUUUCCUCACUAAGAAGAGGGUCAAUUUACACAUGACUAUGUAAAUAAGUCCCGGUAUAAACUUCACUUAUUUGUUUUUUUUCUUUUGACUUCAGGAGCUUUUCUGUUUAAAAUAAAAUAGUUGGAAAGAAAAGUCUACCUAGAGAACAUGGAGAAUACAGUUUAAUUUUCUUUUAUAUUAUUCAGAGAAAAACAUCUAAAAGUGGCACCUGCUUUUCAAAAAUGAUCAAAUAUAUAACCUACAAUAUUGCAUUUAAUUGAUUAUCGUAACAACACAGAUAAAAGAAGUGGUCAAAUACAAAAAUGAAAUCAUUCAGAUAAAUGUGUCUCUGUCAUUUUACAGGUUAGAGACUGAAAAGUUAGAAUACAGGGAGAAUACAUCAUAAUAAAUUAAUAAAUGCAAAAUUUCACAGACUGAUCAUCUGAUUUAUAAAGUAUAAAAUGAUGAGACUAUAACUGUAGAUUUUUAAAAAAAAAAAAUUUCUCUCCAGCCAGGGAUGAAUAGAGGGGGAAAAAUAGUGAACUGAUCAAAGAUGAAAUCAAAACUCAAGCAAAAUACUGUACUUAAAUUUUCAUCAUAUUAAAAAAGUCAACUUUUAAAAAUCUGGCAUUUCAAAUAAUUAACUAACGUUUCCUCAAAGUGAUGGACAUGCAGUCCCGAAGCAUGAGGUCUCUCAGUCAUCGGAGUCACCUGACUUUUCAAAAGAAACACUUAGAGUCAUUAAAUCUCUUCUCAGUAUGUGAACCAACACUGAUUUAACUCCUCAACAAAGACAAGGAGACUUUAUUCAGGAUUAUGCCACUGAAGGACUUUAUACAAACUUUGAAAAAUAACGUUCAAGUGUUUCCAGGUGCAGAAGUUUGUCUCAAUACUGAAAGUUUUGCCCAUUCCUCUAUUCCUCAAACCCUGCUCUAAAAAAAUUCCUAGAUUACCAGACACACUCUGACACACUUCUUCAAUGUCGCUUACAUCCUGUUUUAUUCUUACAACAAGGCCUUGAAAACAGUUAAUAUUAGAGAAAUGAAAACUUGUCUGAUGCAAGGGAAAAGAUUAAUAUUCACACAAAUGUGCGCACAUCAAUUAAACCUGAAUAAAGGCCAAAAAGAGUUCAGUGAAACUUGCCAUGCAUGAAAACUACAGCUUGUGUAACAGCUGUAAAAACAUUCCUACGUAGCAACGAUUGAUUGAUUACAGAUUUUUCUCAGUUGAUACCAAAAUUGAUGAUGAGGGAGUCGCUCAUCUGAUGGCCAAUCUGUAAACAUCACAAACAACCAGUGCAAAAAUGCUGAACUUAAGUGAAUACUUGAUUUAUUCAACAUUUAACUGCAUUAUUGUACAUAUCGAAAAACAAUUUAUAUCCAACACUUGUGGGUGACUGGUCUAGACUGGAAAUGCUGUCAUUGGGAGGUGAAAAGGUAGAUUUUCACUCAAACAAGAUCACUGUGAGUGCUUAUGCCAAGAUCAGGUGCGAAUGCCCUUAAUCUGCUUAAUUAGUUAGCCGCCCAGUGAAUCCCCAGCAUGUAGUUUCAUGUUCUAUGGGACGGGCAAUGGGAGGGAUGUCUGUAAAAUGGUCAGUCCAGGUAUUUAAUAAACAGGAUUAUGGUGGAUUAUUUCCUGUGGAGUCUUUGCUCCGAGUGUAGGAGUUGGAGUUUGUGGGGUCUUGCCAUGAGUGAGGGUAAAAUGGAUUGUAAGAUUGACAAGUGCUGUUGCUGCAUCAACAAGCAUGCUGGUGUUGUACCAGCCCAUUGUGGUGAGUUGAAGCUUUUAAAUUUACCAGCUAAUCCUCACCUGUGUUUAUGAGUUUUGGGUAGUGACCAAAAGAAUGAGAUUUCAGGUACGAGCAGCCAAAAUAAGUUGUCUGGGCUCGGCCUGAGAUGAGAUAAAGAGCUGAGAAAUCCUCAGAGUAGACCUGAUGCACCUUUGAAUCGGAAGGAGCAUUCUUAAGGUGGUUCGGUGUUUGAUCAGGAUGCCUGCCUUUGUAAAUCUUCAAGGAACACCCAACUAGGAGCAGCUGGAAAACGUUACUAAGGAGAGUGUGUCCGGGCUGACUUGUCACCGCUGCUUUUGUGACCCAGCCACCGAUUAUGUGUUUUCAUAUGUAGUUUUGUUUCAUAGUUUGUGAGUCAGCCUCCUGUUACACAAUCAACAGUCAGACAGUCUAUGAACACGGUAGACAAAGUGAUGAAAGUGCUCAAGAUUGAAAGAGUAACUCGAAUCGAAAACACAUUUGAAGAUUACCAACAGUAAAAAUCACCACGGAUUCAAAUAAAAGUUCAAAUAAAACUUAAAGUUGCUGUGAGCAACUUUUGGUUUGUGUCAAUAUUGGCUGUGAUACCUUUUUUGAAAGUCAUUAAGAGGCAUCAGUAUCAGUUUCAGUCUGUUUCUCAGCUAUUUAAAAACUCCUUAUAGUGCCUUUAAGAUAAAGAUGUUUCAUCACAGAGAGCCAGUUUGGUGUAGAGCAGGGUCAUUCAACUUAAACAGCAGCUGGUCCAUAUCAGAAUACUUGGGAACUUUUGAUCAUAUAAUUUUGUCAAGUAAUGGCAAAAUUCAGCUCAAAUACUUUAUAAUAUUUACAGAUUUUGAUGUAAUGUUUUCCUCUUGGUGAUAUUUAAACUUUAACUCAUUGGUUCAUCACUUGUAGCAGCUGGCAAAGUUAAUAAUUUAAUUGAAAAUAUUAUAAUAAUGCUUUAUUUUUGUCAGUAUUGAUCCCACUAUGAUCAUUUAUUUCUUACAUGGCGUCAUGUCACUGAAAAAAAUAAAACGCCAAAUAAGUUUGAUAGAGCAGCCAAUCACAGUUUAGGUUGAGAAACACUGGAUCCACUUCCUCAGCAGUAUUCAUCAUACUGCAGAUAAACCUGACUGACAUGUAUGGGCAGCUUCUUCAGACCAUGACUGGUCCAGGGGCUUCAGGUUGAAUAGGCUUGGUCUCGAAGUCAAGGCACGUACCUCACAGUCAUCUUUGUCGAGGUUGUUGGUUUGAUCCUCGGCCUUGACUCUUGGCUGCACGUUCUUGCUCUUUAUACUUAACACUUUCUGUCUUUCCUCUUAUGUCCUAUCCAAUUCAGGAAACAGCUCCCCAAUAUAACUCAACAAAAAGGUUCCUUCAGUAUAAAUAAAAUUCAUGAACGGAAACGGAAAUGAAAUUCAGGAUGUGUUGAACUUGUGUGAUUGAAUAUAAUUCAGAUAAAACUCUGUGAAGUGUUUUCUUCAAUCAUGUAACUGCCUGCAAAACCGCCUCAGGAGAAAGAUCAAAACAUGGGAAAACAGAUUUUUUCUUUAGACAAGCUGUUACAGUAAGACGUACAGUCAACACACAAAGAAUCCCUGACAGUACACUCAGUAAAUCACAGAUAGCGGAUGAUAUUGUAGUACUCAUAUGUGGGCUUUGACAUGUAGUGAUUACUCAAUAGGAAGUGGGACGUGUGGAUGAUGGUAGUAGCAGUGAAAAUGUUCAUCACCCACUCUCUCUUCAAAUGUGACAGUCCUCACGUUCACUGCAUCUUACCUUUCACCUCAAUCCAAAAAAAAAAGUUGUUGUUCAAAAUCAAACAAAAACAUCAAUGACGAGUAUGUGCGUCUUUUGGUCACGGAUUUAGCGUUGCAUCAGCAAACCCACCACACCUCGGAAGCAGCGGAUGGUCCCCAGUUACUGCGAAGACAACAUAAACAAUCAGCCUAAAAGAACACGGUGGAGACUUCUGUGGUUUGACAUGGAGGUCGAGUUUUGUUUACAUGAUGUGUCAACGUAGUCAACACCAUCACCUCGGUGUUGAGAGGAAGGAAGUGCACACGGGGGGAAGCACCAGCGCAAACCUCGAAGCAUUUAUCCGCCAUGACCUAUAUAUGCAUGAACUUAGCCUAUGACAGCCGAGGGACUGGAUGUCACAGUGAUGUCUGUAACGGUUUGUCCCCCCACAGCAGAAGAGGGGGGACAGGAACAGGAAGAGGAACUGCUCACGGGUGAAUGUCAUAACAGACGCAAAGCAAAGACAUCAGACAUCAGAUCCUAGUUAGGGACGUGCAGUUUAAUGCAAACAACAAAACCGAUGUGAUGUGCUGAUAGAACAAUCUGAUAUAUCACAAAGAAGCAACACCUGCCUGUGUUUAAUUCUCCUGAUGGGAGGAGUUUUUGGUUAUGACUGAGACUGAAAUGAACGAUAAUGUCAUUUUUCUUUUCUUUUAACCUAUAAAGCAAAUAAGUCCAUCAGCAUGUAGACUGUACAGGUAUUCUUAAUGCCUCAAACCACAUGCUGUCAGAUGAUGUGGCUAAUAAUGUUGCAGAAACUGAAUUAUAGGUAUUUCGCUGAGUGAUUUUAUUGAUUUAAGAAGCAGGAUGCCUUUUUUAGAAGUCACACCUACAUAUGAACAGGACAAAAUCAGCAAAGAAAUAAGUGGUACCACUUCAUCCACAGGGGGCACCAGAAUCAACAUAAACCAAGAGUUGCUCUCAGAAGCUUUAUGUGAGAGAUAAGUGUAGGUUUAUGCAAUUUUGGAGGAAGUACUCCUCCACUUUAACACUAAUGUGACAACUAAAAUAUGCCUCAUGCUUGCAGACUCAUUUGUGUGUUAAAAAUCUGCAAAGUUUACUUUUAAAGUGCUUUACAACAAAACAUUAACAACAUCAAGAGCAUUAAAAAAUAUAAGACAAGGUAAAAGUCAUGUUAAGAUCAGAUGUACAAAAUGUACAAAAGAAUAGGAUCAUCAAACGAAAAGAAAAAUGUGACACUAGGCUGAACAAAAGGCAAAACAAAGUGAGGGGAGCUCUUCACCCAUUUGUCAAACAGCUACAAUGUGCCUGUCUGUCAGGUAUCUCAGUCAUGCCCCUGUGAACGUAAAGGGAGAUUCAUAUUCAAAGGUCUUUUUUUCCAUGCGUGCUUGUGAAAAUACCAAAAUGACACAAUAUUUUCUGCUAAGCAAUUGAUCCUGAACAGUUGCCUGCAGUAUUUUUGAGGUAGAGACACAACUUGUCCAAAAUAUACCGUCAGAAAAUCUGCAUUAGCACCUGGAAUCACAGAUCAUGGCCUUGAGCUGCCCCUGAAACCAACACAGAGAUGCUGUAAUGGUGAGGUUCUCUAUCCCAACACUUGACAAAUCAUGCCUGUAACUGUAAAUUGUAAUUGAAAUACUUUAACACAUGAUUAAUUAAGAUGCAGUAAUAUCUUGAGAGUUGUACCCCUGUAAGACUGGGAAGAUUUAACAGCACCUAUAUUAUACACAGUAUGGUAGCUCUUACAGGUGAGAAAUGCUAAAUGAUAAAAUAUCACAGAUUAAUUUUCAAUAAGCCAAAGUGCCACUUUGACAGGUAGGUAUGUGUGUUUUAUAGAGCAAUUAAGUGUCUUUGGUGCAAUGUGUAUUUUAACUCCAUUAAAUACAGUUUUCAGAGCAGCACCUGAGCAGAUGUACUGAGAUCUCUUUUUCUAAUCUACAGGUUGAUCUAAAGCUCUGUCUUUGCUUCAAUGACUCCCCCAGCUUUCUGAAGAUUAGUGACGAUAAGGGCAAGAAAAAACAUGGUACACCUGACAGUUUACUCCCUCUUCCUGGUAUCAGCCUUCCAUUGUAUACCCCACGGUGUGGAUGUAUGAGGUGAGUCAGAUUUUGCAGAGUCACACAUGGAAAUAUCUGACUCCUCGGGUGUUUAGGAAUUUCCUGAUCCUAUCACUUUACUUCUUACAGAAAAAAAAAAGAGACUUACAGUCACAGAUCGCUCCACCCCCUCAACAGCUGGCCAGCUAUUGGGAAGUUCCAGGUUAAUAACUAAACUCAGGCCACAUGCUGAACGAGUCAGCCGGGCAGGGCAGAUUGAUUGGGAGUGUGGAGUCAGCAAUGUGCACUAUUUGGCUGAGUAAGGAGCCACUGCAGGAUAACACACAGUCCAGCUUCAUGUUUGCUUAAGUCACUUUUUAAGACAUUUUUCUUUUUCUAGUUUAAAAAAUGAAGAAAAACAAAGUAAUUCCAUAUGUAGGUUUGAUAGUUUUCAUAUUCAAAUAAAACUAAAAUGAAUUUCAAAAUGACAAAGUUCUUCAAAACAGUCUGAGUCACAAUAAGACAGCGUCUAGAAACAAAAGGAUCCACUGUGUCUUUAAGACAACUUCCGGUCACACCUUGGUUGUAGUUUUCCUAAUGCAAUUGAGCGCAGCAUGCACCAUCAUGUCUGUUUGACGUCAGCAGAGCGUUUGGAGGGAGUGCUAUUACUCACUCUGUUUGAGUUGCAUUCCUGUACACCAAGUACAAAUGCCGGCCCCUAUUUCCCAAACAGGAAGUCCCAGCCAA